rnacentral:rRNA from 1 species
UACGUAGGUGACAAGCGUUGUCCGGAUUUACUGGGCGUAAAGAGCGCGCAGGCGGUCGUUCAAGUCGAGUGUGAAAGCCCCCGGCUCAACUGGGGAGGGUCAUUCGAUACUGAUCGACUCGAAGGCAGGAGAGGGUAGUGGAAUUCCCGGUGUAGUGGUGAAAUGCGUAGAUAUCGGGAGGAACACCAGUGGCGAAGGCGACUACCUGGCCUGUUCUUGACGCUGAGGCGCGAAAGCUAGUGGAGCAAACGGG